GCACCCUAGAGGCGACCCGGGCCCCGGAAGUCGGAACAAGGAACCCGUAGAGUUUGAUCCUGGCUCAGAUUGAACGCUGGCGGCAGGCUUAACACAUGCAAGUCGAGCGGGGAAGGUUGCUUCGGUAACUGACCUAGCGGCGGACGGGUGAGUAAUGCUUAGGAAUCUGCCAUUUAGUGGGGGACAACAUUCCGAAAGGAAUGCUAAUACCGCAUACGUCCUACGGGAGAAAGCAGGGGAUCUUCGGACCUUGCGCUAAAUGAUGAGCCUAAGUCGGAUUAGCUAGUUGGUGGGGUAAAGGCCUACCAAGGCGACGAUCUGUAGCGGGUCUGAGAGGAUGAUCCGCCACACUGGGACUGAGACACGGCCCAGACUCCUACGGGAGGCAGCAGUGGGGAAUAUUGGACAAUGGGCGGAAGCCUGAUCCAGCCAUGCCGCGUGUGUGAAGAAGGCCUUUUGGUUGUAAAGCACUUUAAGCGAGGAGGAGGCUCUCUUAGUUAAUACCUAAGAUGAGUGGACGUUACUCGCAGAAUAAGCACCGGCUAACUCUGUGCCAGCAGCCGCGGUAAUACAGAGGGUGCGAGCGUUAAUCGGAUUUACUGGGCGUAAAGCGUGCGUAGGCGGCUUUUUAAGUCGGAUGUGAAAUCCCCGAGCUUAACUUGGGAAUUGCAUUCGAUACUGGGAAGCUAGAGUAUGGGAGAGGAUGGUAGAAUUCCAGGUGUAGCGGUGAAAUGCGUAGAGAUCUGGAGGAAUACCGAUGGCGAAGGCAGCCAUCUGGCCUAAUACUGACGCUGAGGUACGAAAGCAUGGGGAGCAAACAGGAUUAGAUACCCUGGUAGUCCAUGCCGUAAACGAUGUCUACUAGCCGUUGGGGCCUUUGAGGCUUUAGUGGCGCAGCUAACGCG
rnacentral:rRNA from 1 species